rnacentral:rRNA from 1 species
UACUUAGGGUGCAAGCGUUGUCCGGAAUUAUUGGGCGUAAAGAGCUCGUAGGCGGUUUGUCGCGUCGAAUGUGAAAACCCGGGGCUCAACCCCGGGCCUGCAUUCGAUACGGGCAGACUAGAGUUCGGUAGGGGAGUCUGGAAUUCCUGGUGUAGCGGUGAAAUGCGCAGAUAUCAGGAGGAACACCGGUGGCGAAGGCGGGACUCUGGGCCGAUACUGACGCUGAGGAGCGAAAGCGUGGGGAGCAAACAGG